GAUGAACGCUGGCGGCGUGCCUAAUACAUGCAAGUCGAGCGAAUGGAUUAAGAGCUUGCUCUUAUGAAGUUAGCGGCGGACGGGUGAGUAACACGUGGGUAACCUGCCCAUAAGACUGGGAUAACUCCGGGAAACCGGGGCUAAUACCGGAUAACAUUCUGAACCGCAUGGUUCGAAAUUGAAAGGCGGCUUCGGCUGUCACUUAUGGAUGGACCCGCGUCGCAUUAGCUAGUUGGUGAGGUAACGGCUCACCAAGGCAACGAUGCGUAGCCGGCCUGAGAGGGUGAUCGGCCACACUGGGACUGAGACACGGCCCAGACUCCUACGGGAGGCAGCAGUAGGGAAUCUUCCGCAAUGGACGAAAGUCUGACGGAGCAACGCCGCGUGAGUGAUGAAGGCUUUCGGGUCGUAAAACUCUGUUGUUAGGGAAGAACGAGUGCUAGUUGAAUAAGCUGGCACCUUGACGGUACCUAACCAGAAAGCCACGGCUAACUACGUGCCAGCAGCCGCAGUAA
rnacentral:rRNA from 1 species